UGUAGCAGAAAGCCUUGCGUGUUAUUUAGGUCACCAGUCCUAUAAAGGAAGCAAAAAAACAAACAAUCGAGGUGCACAAAGGAAUAUUUAUGGAAAUAUUUCAUGUAACUUUUGAGGAAACAUGGCCAUUUCAGGAUAAUUCACUGUGGUUUGCAGACGGUUUGGAAAGGCUGGGCUUGACACAUCCAUGACAGUAGCUCAGCUCAUUCUGUGACCAGCCCUCCGAUGAUAUCAGACAUUUUUUACAGAGGCAGAAAAUGUGUCACGGAGAAUUUAAGUGGGUUGCCUGAAUCUGAUCUGCUUAGCAUGGGACUUUUAUCAUAAAGAGCAUGCUUGGAUCAUUACAGCCCUUGGUAAAAUCUGAGCGAGGCAAACGGGGUCUGAGUGCUUGCACCUUGCUGAUGGCUACCUUGGAUUUGGAUGAAGAGGCAGGACGGGAAUGACCCAAGAGAGAAGGCAGAUAGAAAGCACAUAGUCCUCUCCUACUUUGUGUGUGCUUCUAUACUGAUAUGGGUUUUGAAACAUAUCUUCUCACUGCUCUGCUACAGUGAGAAGUCCCCCAGUCCUCUUCCAACUGAGCCUAUGAGGAGUGAGUGAAAUCGGUGAUUUUUUAAUUAUUUUUUAAACUUCUUUUUUUGUUUGGUGAAACCACAGGGAGUGACAUUAGGAGACAUUUUAUGUUCAAACAUGAGGAAACCAACGUUCAGAGAAUUCCCCAGGUCUACUGAGCUCAAGGUUUUAUCACAGUCGGCCUUCACAGAACACCCCAGACUAGGUCCCGGCCUUUGGGCCCUCUGCCACCCCCGCGGUGUCAUGGGGGCCGCUUCUCGUCAUCCUCCCUAGGGAUCCUGUUUCCUGUUGCUAUGAGUGCGUUAUCAGAAGGACCAAAGAUAACACGGAAGUAAACAAAGGAAUGUGAAAAAGAACAGCUAUUGCACAAAUGUCUUCUUCAUGUGGGGUUUAGCUGAUACAUGGCAAGUUAGCAGCUUCCUCACACUUCCUGCCAAGCCAAUCCAAACCCGAGAACAUCCGGUGGGCCUCAUGCCUCAGGCUUUCACAACAUGGCUGCUGGCUUCAGUUCCACUGAGAUGUGAGGUGGUACUUCUGAGUGACCAGUUUAUCCUGAACUCCCAUGAGAUUGUGAGCUUUGUUGCAAGACAGGUAAGACACAGGAGGAAACUGUGUGGGUCCCAUAAUGAGUGUAGUGCACGGAGUUUCUUAAGAUUAGAGUUACAGUGCAUGGAGUUUCUUAAGAUCAGAGUUACACUGUGGAAAUUCCAGCACCAUUACAGCCUGUGUUUUGAAUGA
rnacentral:lncRNA from 1 species